GAAAUUAUGAGAAGUGGGCAUUGCAUACUGAAAAGAUUGCAAAAGAAUGAAGAAAAUGAAGAGACAGAAGGUUCAUUAUAUUUCUUCUGUGAAGUGGAUAUGAAAUUGGUGGGAAGAGUUCUUAAGAUGUCAAGAAUAACAACAGAUCAAUUGAUUUGGUGUAGCAACAAAUUGAAUAGAAUAAGUUUCUGUAAUAGAAAAAUACAUGUAGA
rnacentral:misc_RNA from 1 species